AAUAGAACAAGAUUAGAAGAUGUAAUUAGACUGAUCUUCGUAAUCCCAAACGUCUCAGGAUAUCAGAUUCCAAACUCUCUUCAACUCAACGCUUAGAGCCUCAUAUUUAUCUAUCUUUUCUUUGUAUACCCUACCUAUGUUAUCAUCUACAGGAAUCGACACGUCUAUAAUGACCCAGUUGUUGGUGGAUGAUUUUGGCUACUUCAUUGUGUCGGUUGAGGUAUUCCGUAGGAGCCAAAUGAGUGCAGCUUGACACUAUGUGCUGGAUUGUUUCCUCCUGUUUGCACCCCAUGCGGCAUG